rfam:Astyanax mexicanus Tnplaced_Scaffold4657, whole genome shotgun sequence.
GGCUCUGUGGCGCAAUGGAUAGCGCAUUGGACUUCUAGGCUCAGGUUUGAGGCCAUUCAAAGGUUGUGGGUUCGAGUCCCACCAGAGUCG